CCUACGCGCGGCAGCAGUGGGGAAUAUUGGACAAUGGGCGAAAGCCUGAUCCAGCCAUGCCGCGUGUGUGAAGAAGGCCUUCGGGUUGUAAAGCACUUUCAGUGGGGAAGAAAGCCUUGGGGCUAAUACCCUCGAGGAAGGACAUCACCCACAGAAGAAGCACCGGCUAACUCCGUGCCAGCAGCCGCGGUAAUACGGAGGGUGCGAGCGUUAAUCGGAAUUACUGGGCGUAAAGCGCGCGUAGGCGGUCUGAUAAGCCGGUUGUGAAAGCCCCGGGCUCAACCUGGGAACGGCAUCCGGAACUGUCAGGCUAGAGUGAAGGAGAGGAAGGUAGAAUUCCCGGUGUAGCGGUGAAAUGCGUAGAGAUCGGGAGGAAUACCAGUGGCGAAGGCGGCCUUCUGGACUGACACUGACGCUGAGGUGCGAAAGCGUGGGUAGCAAACAGGAUUAGAUACCCUUGUAGUC
rnacentral:rRNA from 1 species